AUUUUUGUUUGAGAAAUUAAAUAAAAAAGAUCAUAAAAUAUAUUUGUAUUUAUUAGCGCUGGAUUCUGUAAACAAAGUUGAAGCAAAAUAUGCGUCACCAAUUCGUACAAAAUAGUCGGGAAAUAAAUAACAGAAGUGAACACAUCCUUACAGUGCCAUUAAAAGAUUAGCAUUUUCUAAAUGAAUAUAAAAGGUUAUCGUCAAUACCUAAAUUGCUUGACAAAAAUAUUAUUAAAUGGAAAAAUGGUACACUCCAUACUUGGAGUUACGAAAUCCUUGGUACUAUCGCUGAAGGGAGGCUCUUAAGUUUAAGGAAAGUCAAAUGCACGGUGCAUAACCAAAUGAGUUUAGAUUCCAAACACGAACGGAUCAACAUCCCGGAAACUUUUGCAACACUCUCAAAAGGAAUUACACAGACAGAUUUCUGCGAGCUAGAACAAUCAGCUAACUUGAGUUAUCUGCAUUAAAUGAUAUGUGAGUGUCACCUCAGCUACUAAAGAUGUGUAAAUACCUACUGGAUGUCAUUUAUUAUAAAGUCGAUUUUAAUAUCUUUUGGUCUUAGCUACGACAAGAGUACUAUUCAAAUUUCACUGCGAGUGCAGCUUUCGACAUGAGGAAAACAUCUUACUAGUUUAUAAUCCACUAUUUUAGAAACUUGACUUUAUAAAUAUAAGUUGUUUUUGGAAUUGGCUCACUACUAUUAUGCAAAUAGUUUUUGCAGUUUCAUAUGAAGUUGGAUAUAAAAACAACAGCAA